rnacentral:rRNA from 1 species
GAGUUUGAUCGUGGCUCAGAGUGAACGCUGGCGGCAGGCCUAACACAUGCAAGUCGAACGGCAGCGCAGCAGUAGCAAUACUGUGGGCGGCGAGUGGCGGACGGGUGAGGAAUACAUCGGAAUCUACCUUGUCGUGGGGGAUAACGUAGGGAAACUUACGCUAAUACCGCAUACGACCUACGGGUGAAAGCGGCGGACCGCAAGGCGUCGCGCGAUUGGAUGAGCCGAUGUCCGAUUAGCUAGUUGGCGGGGUAAGAGCCCACCAAGGCGACGAUCGGUAGCUGGUCUGAGAGGAUGAUCAGCCACACUGGAACUGAGACACGGUCCAGACUCCUACGGGAGGCAGCAGUGGGGAAUAUUGGACAAUGGGCGCAAGCCUGAUCCAGCCAUGCCGCGUGUGUGAAGAAGGCC